rnacentral:rRNA from 1 species
UACAGAGGUCCCAAGCGUUGUUCGGAUUCAUUGGGCGUAAAGGGUGCGUAGGCGGCGCGGUAAGUCGGGUGUGAAAUCUCGGAGCUUAACUCCGAAACUGCAUUCGAUACUGCCGUGCUUGAGGACUGGAGAGGAGACUGGAAUUUACGGUGUAGCGGUGAAAUGCGUAGAUAUCGUAAGGAACACCAGUGGCGAAGGCGGCUCACUGGCCCGAUACUGACGCUGAGGCACGAAAGCGUGGGGAGCAAACAGG